ACAACCAAUCAACAAGGCACUCAGACAAAAAAAAUCCUAAUUCUAAAAUUCAGGACUUGGGAUCUCUCGGGUGAAUGAAGGUUUAGGUGAUUUUCAAUAUUUCCUAGAUGAACAUCAAUGUCAAGAAAUUGAGCAACCAUAUAAUAUUCAUGAGCUUGCUACUACUCAUAAAUUUGAUCAAAGUUAGCUUUCUGGACAAGACUCUUACCCUCCAAUUAUUACAAAAGUUCUCAAUCAAAAGUUUCACCCCUUCUUUUAAAAAAAAUCAUCUAAAGUUUAUGCUCCCCAUAAAAUAGGUAAAUUAAAAAGGAUUUAAGUCCUUUAAAAGUACUCUCCCU
rnacentral:lncRNA from 1 species